rnacentral:rRNA from 1 species
UGGGGAAUUUUGGACGAAUUGGGCGAAAGCCUGAUCCAGCAAUGCCGCGUGUGUGAAGAAGGCCUUCGGGUUGUAAAGCACUUUUGUCCGGAAAGAAAUCCUUGGCUCUAAUACAGUCGGGGGAUGACGGUACCGGAAGAAUAAGCACCGGCUAACUACGUGCCAGCAGCCGCGGUAAUACGUAGGGUGCAAGCGUUAAUCGGAAUUACUGGGCGUAAAGCGUGCGCAGGCGGUUUGCUAAGACCGAUGUGAAAUCCCCGGGCUCAACCUGGGAACUGCAUUGGUGACUGGCAGGCUAGAGUAUGGCAGAGGGGGGUAGAAUUCCACGUGUAGCAGUGAAAUGCGUAGAGAUGUGGAGGAAUACCGAUGGCGAAGGCAGCCCCCUGGGCAAUACGACGCUCAUGCACGAAAGCGUGGGGAGCAAAC